ACGGCUCAGUAACACGUGGCUAAUCUGCCCUUUGGGAUAGGAACAUCCCCGGGAAACUGGGGCUAAUUCCCCAAUAGGCGAAGAACUCUGGAAUGAGUCUUCACCAGAAAAGACGUUUACGUUAUGCUCGUAGGCGUCGCCCAAGGAUGAGGCCGCGACCGAUCAGGUUGUUGGUGAGGUAAUGGCUCACCAAGCCUUUUACCGGUGCGGGCCGUGAGAGCGGGAGCCCGGAGAUGGGCACUGAGACAAGGGCCCAGGCCCUACGGGGCGCAGCAGUCGCGAAAACUUUGCAAUACACGAAAGUGUGACAGGGCUAUCCCGAGUGCCAUCCGCUGAGGAAGGCUUUUACCCAGUCUAGAACGCUGGGGGAAUAAGGAGAGGGCAAGUCUGGUGUCAGCCGCCGCGGUAAUACCAGCUCUUCGAGUGGUGUGGAUGUUUAUUGGGCCUAAAGCAUCCGUAGCUGGCUGAGUUAGUCCCCUGUUAAAUCCACCGAAUUAAUCGUUGGAUUGCGGGGGAUACUGCUCGGCUAGGGGACGAGAGAGGCAGACGGUAUUUCCGGGGUAGGGGUGAAAUCCUAUAAUCCCGGGAAGACCACCAGUGGCGAAGGCUGUCUGCUAGAACGCGCCCGACGGUGAGGGAUGAAAGCUGGGGGAGCGAACCGGAUUAGAUACCCGGGUAGUCCCAGCUGUAAACGAUGCAGGCUAGGUGUUUGGACGGCCACGUGCCGUUCUAGUGCCGCAGGGAAGCUGUUAAGCCUGCCGCCUGGGAAGUACGGUCGCAAGGCUGAAACUUAAAGGAAUUGGCGGGGGAG
rnacentral:rRNA from 1 species